AAUAGCAGCAGUCCUUCCAGAAAGUUCCCCGCGAUAAAAGUGUGAAGUCCGCGGAGAAAAUGAUCCGCCAGAAGGUGAACUUGCACACCAGAGGUGGCUCAGCCUCUGCCGGUGUUGUGCCGAAUUCUGCACCCCCGCCGUAAAAUGCACCCCCUGUCGGGAGCGCGCUUACGUCACUCGGUUGCAUCACCCGUCUCGAAAAGUAGCUAAACUCGGCUAAAAUCGCCUCUUUCGGCAUAAAAAUGUACAUAACAAGGUGAAUAAUCCAAGUUGUCUUUACUUUGGAUAUAUUAAUGGAUGGAUUAAUUGUGAUUCUUUAAUGAUUUCGCCGCCAUUGCCUUUAAUGAUUUCGUCGUCAUUCAAUCGCCUCUUUCGGCAGAAAAAUGUACAUAACAAGGUGAAUAAUCCAAGUUGUCUUUACUUUGGAUAUAUUAAUGGAUGGAUUAAUUGUGAUUCUUCAAUGAUUUCGCCGUCAUUGCCUUUAAUGAUUUCGUCGUCAUUCAGAGACAUCAAGGAGAACGAAUGUUUGCUGCUUCACUCGACGGGAUCCAAUACAUGUAUUUUAAAAAUAUGACAUUUUCUUUAACUGUAAGAAGCUCAUGGGUGGAUGGAUGAAUACAUUAAUAAAUGAAUGCAUCUGA